UGUGCACUUCCGAUAUGAUUGAGAUCCCCAGUCAUUGGCUGGAGUCACCCUGAAUAUGGACAUUGGUCUAUAACCUGUGGACUGUUUCUAAAAGAACUUUUGGCAGCUACAAACUCAUCAUCUCUGCCAUGUAUCUG